rnacentral:rRNA from 1 species
GCCAACGAUCAUACCACGUUGAAUACACCAGUUCCCGUUAGAUCAUUGAAGUUAAGCAACGUCGGGCGUGGUCAGUACUUGGAUGGGUGGCCACUUGGGAACACCACGUAUCGUUGGCUCAU